AGGAUAAGACGAGCUUCUUGAAGUGAGAUAAAUAUCCAAGCUGCGUCCCAAGUUCUCUGUUUGUCUGGACAAGACAUGCCACAUGCUUCAGAGCUGAGUGGCUGUGGACACAUCUCUAACAUGCACCAGAAGGCAGGACUAGAACUGGGUUACCUCACUUCCAAAACAGCUUAUCCAUCAGGUCCACACUUGUCAAUAGGGAAAAUACUAAGCUUUCUAAGAUGUUUACAACCAAGAAGAAACCUAACGGCUGCUGACAUUGACGAAU